rnacentral:lncRNA from 1 species
AAAAUCCUCAAUAAAAUACUGGCAAACCGAAUCCAGUAGCACAUCAAAAAGCUUCUCCACCACGAUCAAGUGGGCUUCAUCCCUGGGAUGCAAGGCUGUUUCAACAUAUGCAAAUCAAUAAACAUAAUCCAUCACAGAAACAGAACCAAUGACAAAAACCGCUUGAUUAUCUCAAUAGAUGCAGAAAAGGCCGUCGACAAAAUUCAAAAGCCCUUCAUGCUAAAAACUCUCAAUAAACUAGGUAUUGAUAGAACGUUUCUCAAAAUAAUAAGAGCUAUAUAUGACAAACCCACAGCCAAUAUCAUGUGGAAUGGGCUAAAGCUGUUGACCUGAUAGAUAUGGGUUCAAGAGGACACAGCUGAAUACUGUGCUUAGGAAAAGAACAGUUUCAAAGGCUUUCCAGAUUGUCAGAUUUGAUGAUAUCCUCCUUGGUGCACACCUCUCUUGGCUAUGGGGCACAUAAACCACCUCUACCAAUCUAACUGGUACCAGUUGAAUGAAGAGAAGCACACCUCCUCCCCAGAACAGUACUGCAGCUAUGAUAUAACGCCUGGGCAGGGUUCGCAAUAGCAGCCAGG